UGGUAAUCCAAAACAUAUUUCAAAAACACGUCGGUUGACAAGAAGAACCGACGUGCAUCCAAAACACGCUAAACACUGUUUCAGUCAAGUCGUCACUCUCAGCUUUACCACCAAAAACUAAAGUUGUCUUUCUCAACCUAAUUUUUCACGCCCCGCUCAAUGUUCUAAGUUUCCCUCUCCGUGAAAAUUCCCUUCCCUCUCGAUGAAGCCCUCUCUCCCUAUCUGAGUUCAAACCCUCUCUCUCUCUCCCUCUCUAUCACAUCUCUACACCUAAACCCUCUCUCCCCAGCUCAAUCUUUUCUAAGCCGACUCUCACAUCUCAGAGAGACAGAGGCAACGAGGAGGUGGACUUCGGUGUCGGCUUCGUCACGAGGAUCGACGUCGGCUCCUUCUUCUAGAUCGUCGUCGGUGCCAUCUUCUUGAUAGUCGUCAUCGCAUGUAACUUCUCUUCGAGGUCCAGAGAGCGAAUCAGAAAGAGAGUCGAAAAGGUGAUGGCCAUUGGUGUCAUCGACAGAGUGAACGUCGUCAUCGCGCUCAUCGCCUGCUCGUCGCGGUCACGGUCAUCGCGGUCCUAGCCUUUUAGAGAAGAAGAUCGACAAAGAGGUUUCAUUUCAUUUUCCUCGGCUCUCCGACCCCGACCCCAACCCCAAAUCCAAAUCCUCUCUUCGAUCUCGGACCUCAAGAUACAUAGACAGCAGGGGAGUGGCUGGACCAAGAUUCCAUAGAGGACUUGGGCUUUGACAAUUUAACUGGAGGAAUCCCACAAUCCAUGAGUGGUUUAAAUUUAAUUCACUUGUAAGGAUGAUACUGCAGUUGUUCUCAAGUCAAGGCUGAGGCAUCUAUUUUAUUGUUGGUAAUUUCUAAACUACAAUACCUUGACCUUUGGGGGAGUAAAAUAUCUGACCAAGGUAGUUGCUGGAUUAGCAGCUGAUGGAAGGCAAAUUGUUGGCAGGACCAAGUCUGAAGCUAACAACUAUGAAAGCCUACAUGAUAGUAUAUAUGUCAUUAACUUUCUCUCCGAAUCUCUCUCAGUAAAGCAGGUCCUUUCGACACCACCAACUUGAAAAAUGUUUGCAAGAAGGCAGAGCUAAGUCAACCCAAUAACAAAUUGAUGAAGUUAAGAUCAAAUUAGUAGAAUUUGUGAGGUCCAUUAUUUCUGAUUAUAGGUAGGAAGUAUGUAUGUAAUAGAAUAAAGAUUGGUUGACUAUGUAAUAACUAUUGAAUCUUCAAGUUUUAUGAAAGAAAUAAUUUUUGAGUGUAU